rnacentral:rRNA from 1 species
GACGAACGCUGGCGGCGUGCCUAAUACAUGCAAGUAGGACGCAGUUGCGAACGGGUGAGUAACGCGUAGGUAACUGCCCAUUAGAGGGGGGUAAAUAUUGGAAACGAUAGCUAAUACCGCAUACUAGUAGAUGGACCUGCGUUGGAUUAGCUAGUAGGUAGGGUAAUGGCCUACCUAGGCAACGAUACAUAGACGACCUGAUAGGGUGAUCUGCCACACUGGGACUGAUACACGGCCCAGACUCCUACGGGAGGCAGCAGUAGGGAAUCUUCGGCAAUGGGGGGAACCCUGACCGAGCAACGCCGCGUGAGUGAAGAAGGUUUUCGGAUCGUAAAGCUCUGUUGUUAAGGAAGCGGUACUUAACCAGAAAGGGACGGCUAACUACGUGCCAGCAGCCGCGGUAAUUC